rnacentral:rRNA from 1 species
UACAGAGGUCUCAAGCGUUUGUUCGGAUUCAUUGGGCGUAAAGGGUGCGUAGGUGGCGUGGCAAGUCUGAUGUGAAAUCCCGGGCUCAACCCGGAACUGCAUUGGAUACUGCCAUGCUUGAGCACUGGAGAGGAGACUGGAAUUACGGUGUAGCAGUGAAAUGCGUAGAUAUCGUAAGGAAGACCAGUGGCGAAGGCGAGUCUCUGGACAGUUGCUGACAGCUG